CAUCCCGCAAUAGCCAAUUCUAUAGAUGUGUAGAGCAUAGAAGUUUUACAGAAUCCAACUUAUAAAGAAUGUGCAUGAUCUCUCUCAAUCAGAUCACUUGAAGUUGCUGCUUGUUGGAAUUAUUUUGUAAUUCAUAUCUUAUAGUUGUGUAUUUUGCAAUGUAAUGUAAUGUGUAAAUAACAAAAUAGUGUAAUAUGUAGCGGAUUGCAUGCAUUUUAGUUUUUCA